AGUGGCGAACGGGUGAGUAAACAUCGGAACGUGUCCUGUAGUGGGGGAUAGCCCGGCGAAAGCCGGAUUAAUACCGCAUACGAUCUACGGAGGAAAGCGGGGGAUCGCAAGACCUCGCGCUAUAGGGGCGGCCGAUGGCAGAUUAGCUAGUUGGUGGGGUAAAGGCCUACCAAGGCGACGAUCUGUAGCUGGUCUGAGAGGACGACCAGCCACACUGGGACUGAGACACGGCCCAGACUCCUACGGGAGGCAGCAGUGGGGAAUUUUGGACAAUGGGGGAAACCCUGAUCCAGCAAUGCCGCGUGUGUGAAGAAGGCCUUCGGGUUGUAAAGCACUUUUGUCCGGAAAGAAAAAAAUUUUCCCCCCAAAAACGGGGGGGGGAAAAACGGCCCCCAAAAAAAAAACCCCCGGUUUAUUUUUGGCCCCCCCCCCGGGGAAAAAUAUGGGGGGGGGGGGGUUUUUAUAAAAUUUUGGGGGGAAAAAGGGGGGGGGGGGGGGCGGUUCGUUAAGACAGAUGUGAAAUCCCCGGGCUUAACCUGGGAACUGCAU
rnacentral:rRNA from 1 species